UACGUAGGGUCCGAGCGUUGUCCGGAAUUACUGGGCGUAAAGAGCUCGUAGGCGGUUUGUCGCGUCGGCCGUGAAAACUUGGGGCUUAACCCCAAGCCUGCGGUCGAUACGGGCAGACUUGAGUUCGGCAGGGGAGACUGGAAUUCCUGGUGUAGCGGUGAAAUGCGCAGAUAUCAGGAGGAACACCGGUGGCGAAGGCGGGUCUCUGGGCAGUAACUGACGCUGAGGAGCGAAAGCGUGGGGAGCGAACAGG
rnacentral:rRNA from 1 species